rnacentral:tRNA from 1 species
GUUAUAGUAGUUUAUAUUUUAGAAUUUCGUUUUGAUGAGGCGAGGGUUUUUUAUAAUU